AUUGAACGCUGGCGGCAUGCCUUACACAUGCAAGUCGAACGGUAACGGGUCCUUCGGGAUGCCGACGAGUGGCGAACGGGUGAGUAAUAUAUCGGAACGUGCCCAGUAGUGGGGGAUAACUGCUCGAAAGAGCAGCUAAUACCGCAUACGACCUGAGGGUGAAAGGGGGGGAUCGCAAGACCUCUCGGCAUUGGAGGGGCCGAUAUCAGAUUAGCUCGUUGGUGGGGUAAAGGCCUACCAAGGCAACGAUCUGUAGUUGGUCUGAGAGGACGACCAGCCACACUGGGACUGAGACACGGCCCAGACUCCUACGGGAGGCAGCAGUGGGGAAUUUUGGACAAUGGGCGCAAGCCUGAUCCAGCAAUGCCGCGUGCAGGAAGAAGGCCUUCGGGUUGUAAACUGCUUUUGUCAGGGAAGAAAUCUUCUGGGCUAAUACCCCGGGAGGAUGACGGUACCUGAAGAAUAAGCACCGGCUAACUACGUGCCAGCAGCCGCCGUAA
rnacentral:rRNA from 1 species